rnacentral:rRNA from 1 species
UACAGAGGUCCCAAGCGUUGUUCGGAUUCAUUGGGCGUAAAGGGUGUGUAGGUGGCGCCGUAAGUCGGGUGUGAAAUCUCGGGGCUUAACUCCGAAACUGCAUUCGAUACUGCGGUGCUUGAGGACUGGAGAGGAGACUGGAAUUCAUGGUGUAGCAGUGAAAUGCGUAGAGAUCAUGAGGAAGACCAGUGGCGAAGGCGGGUCUCUGGACAGUUCCUGACACUGGGACACGAAGGCCAGGGGAGCAAACGGG